ACUUUUUUUUUUUUUUUUUUUUUUUUUAAUUUUUCCCAUAUGCUAGUUGUUUAGAAAGAAUUUAGCUUCUCCUAGAAAGGCAUCCUUGGACUGGCACAAUUGAUACAUUUCAGCCAGCAUAGCAAAAAAGCUCAAUUUUGCCUGUGUGUAAAGAAGCUCAGAUAAGUCCUUGCACAUCAUCAUGAUCAGUAAUUGGUCAACCACCCAGGAAUACACAAGAUGACAGUCUCAUACAGGAUCACAGUCUUGAGAAGCAGACACCACUACCUGAUUAAUUUGCCUCCUGACUGACUUCUGGAUGCUGUCAACCAUUGGGAGGGAUGUUUGCUCUUGGUCAGUACACAGAAGUGCUUGUCACUACAUCACUGUAAAUAAAAGCUUCUCUUCAUUCAUGCCAAGCCUAUCAACCUGCCAUGCAAAUCUUAGUCCAAUAACUGUUACUGAGGCAAAGAGAAAAAAUCCAUAAUUGUCUAUAUUCAAUAGAACAAAUGCACAGAUUAUCAAAAUAAAUACAGCAUAAUAGACACAUAUGAGUUUGGAAGUGGAAUACCUGUCCAUGUGCUUGGAACUGACCCCAGUUGUGGAACAGCCACUUGUUCCCCCUCUGGAAGAUGGUGGUUGCCCCAGAUGGUUACACCAACUCUGUCAAAAAUGCUCCAGGAGCACACAUUGGGUUCCCACAGCCUUGGACUGCACCUGGUGGAAUACAGCCACACUGAGGAGAGCCCAGGAGCCCACGAGCCAGGCACCCUGCAAGAGCACAGGGCUAGGCAGAAACCAUGCAGUCAGGCCUAGGAACAGUGUCAGCUGCAAUAGAAAUAAAAUUGUAUAGCUUCAUCUUAGUAUGCCCUUAAAUCAUAAAAUUGCAGAAUGGUUUGGGUUGGAAGGGACCUUAAAGAUCAUUUAAAGUUCCAGUCCCCUUGAUGUGGGCAUGGACACCUUCUACUGGACCAGGUUGCUCAGGGCUCCAUCAGGCCUUGAACACUUCCAGAGAUGGGACAUCCACAGCUUCUCUGGGCACCCUGUGCCAGUACCUCACCACUCUCACAGUAAAGAAUUUCUAAUAUUCAAUCUAAACCUACCCUCUCUCAGUUAAGCAUUUUCCCCUUGCUCUAUCAUUACACACCCUUAUAUAAACUCCUGCUCCAGCUCUCUUGUAGUCCCCUUUAGGUACUGGAAGGCUGCUCCAAAGCCUCCCUGGAGCCUUUACCAGGUAGAACGACCCCAACUCUUCCCAGCCUGGGUUCAUAAAAGAGGUGUUCCAUCCCUCUAAUCAUCUUUGUGGCUCUUCUCUGGACCUAGCUGGCCAUGCUUCAAUUCUUCCUACAUCAUCAGGCUUCUGUCUAGCACUUUCCCCGUGCAUCAUAAUAUAAUACAACCAUUUGUCAGGAUGCCAGAAUUCUUAAUAAAUGUAAUUACAGAAGCCAUGCAGAGGAAAUUGCUUUACCCCAGUAGUGUUGCAUCAGAAAGCUAGGUUUCAAGCCCCACAUUUCUGAGGCAUUACACAUACUCACAGGUCUGCACCAGCUCAAAUGCUCAACACAGGCACAUUGGAGCACUGCCAGUCAUGCUUGCCCAAGGCCAUUUUGCAGAAACAUGGCCAGAACAGUGUCUGCUUUUUCAAUGCUGACGGACUCUUUCUCACAGCACAAGCACUCCACAUCAUUUACAACUCUGUGAAGUAAGUACAAAAAGGGUACCAACCACAUAUGACAGCACUGUCCUGAAUCAAACUAAUCCACUUUGUGGAGCCCAGCCCUAUAAAGUCACUACAUUUAAUUCCACAGCCUCCCCUAAGAUCACAACAGAUGCAAGGCCUUUGGUGCAAUACAAAAACUCCCCAUGCCACAACAGCCUUGGGAAGCCAGCAGAAGAGGGCAGCAGCGAUACAAGGAAGUGAACUAUACACCGAGUGGUUCCACCUGUAGUAUGCAUUUACCUGGUCUUUCUCAGGAAGCUGGGGUAGGAGAGAGAACAGGGAGGGAACCUUCUCAUUAUUCUUGCUCUCCAUGUGUCACAAACAGCUGUCUCAGGCAGCUCGAAGAAUCACCAGCUAAAAGGUACCAGCGAAAGCAGGUUUAAUAUUAAAGUGGAAGUGUGACAAAAUUUGUUUAAAGGUUUGCCCUACUGCUUACUAGAUGGUUAAAGGACACAGAGAAAAAUUAGACCAAAAUCUAAAAUCAAUCAAUCUAAAUCAAAAAUCUACCAAAAGUAACUUACAUGGAGGCUGGGGAUGGAAAAAGGAUAAGAAUGGGAAAGGAUAAGGAUAAAAAGGAAUGAGGGAGACCCACCUAUUAAGUCACAAGGUUCAGAGUGGCCCCCUUUGCCAAACUUAGUCGCAGAAGUGACCAAUGGUUUAGGCCUAAAGGUUUAAACCACACUUAAUGGUGCUUAAUUGAUAGCCUAAUUCAAACGAUUUUAAGAAAGAUUCUACAGAAUUUACUACAAGUAUGACAGCAACUCACAGGCCUCACUUAUUAAUCUAAUAUAUUUAAGAAUCUAAGAGAGCAAUAUUCAUGGUAAAUUUUCUAUGGCAUAUUCAGACUUGCACGCAAACAGACCUAAAGGAUUAUGUACCUGUGAAAAACUCUGCUUGAGUUCAGCUCAUGUUGGAUGCCAAGGGGCGAAGGGUUGAACCUCAAGCAGUGGGUAUAUCAUCCAAGGUCUGUCAGUGGUUCCAAGUAUAGCAAAUUUGAGAGUUCACUGGCCCUGAGAGGCCCUACUCAGAAGGAGGCUGCUGAUUGCAGGCUGCUGUGGUCCUUGAGAGUUCACAGGGUCUCAGUUAGGACUGAUGUUUCUGGGGUUACAAGAGAGCUGCCUUAAGUCAUAGUAAUUUUCUAUCCUGGCAGCAAUUCAGGUCAGUAAUUUCUUUGAAAGUUUGAUAACAAAAAUAUUGUUCCAUUCGGGUUGUUAUUAUUUUCUAAGGGUGUUUGUUAAAAAGCAGGAGCUCAUCAGACAGCCCAAGUUCCUGGGAACAGUGUUUCUGAUGAGCUCAAGAGGAGUUUAGCCCAGGUGUUAUUUCCUUUUUCUUGCAUAAAAAGUCAUUUUUCCUUUGCUCCCUGACACCCACAAACAUCUUCUUGGGCAGACAGGAAUCACACUCCUGAUAUUUACCAGCUGACCAAUAAUAAGGGGGACAGGAACAAGGACAGGGACAGACCUGCUAGAGGUUUAGGAAAGGGGAGAACUAUAGUAACCAAUCUAACAGCAAAAGGAGGCUUAAGAGGGGAUACUUCAAUGAAGCACAAGCAGAAAAAAGGACAGCCACUAGACAGGACCCCCACUGGGAUAUGAAACACUUCUGUUAAACGCCUGUACCCCAACACACAGUGGGGGAAACAAGCAGGGGAAGCGAGAGCUCUAUGUGCAGUCACAAGGCUUUGACCUCACUGCAGUUACAGAGAUGUAGUGGGAUAAUUCCCACAGUGGAAUGUUGCCAUGAAGGGCUACGCUGUUUAGGAGAGACAGACCAGGAAGGCACGGUGGUGGAGCUGCCCUCUCAGUGAGGCAACACAUAGAACUCUGUCUUGGGGUGGAUGUUGAGCGAGUCAGGAGCUUAUGGCUCAGGAUAAAAAGGCAGAUGAGUAAGGCUGACACUUCGGGUAUUUGCUCCAGGCUGCCUGACUGGCAGGUCAAAGUGGGUUAUCCCUUCUACAGGCAUUACAGUGGCCUCAAAGUCAUGGCCUUGUUCAUGUGGGAGACUUCAACCACCCUGACAUCUGCUGGAAAGCUACACAGCAAAGCACAAACAGGCCAGGGAGGUCCUGGAAAGCACUGAUGACAACUUUCUGCCACAGGUAGUGGAGAAUCCCACAAGGAAUGGUGAGCUGCUCAAUUCAUAAACAAACAGGCAAAGACUUGUUGGAGAAGUGAAGGCUGGGUGCAGCCUCGGCUGUAGUGGUCAUGAGAUUGUGGGGUUCAGCAACAGGAGAGGAGGAAGCAGGGCAGCAAGUAAGAUUACAACAAGGUGGACUUCAGAAGAGCUAACUUUAGCUCAGGGACCUUCUUGGAAGAAUCCCACAGGAACAGGCCUUGCAGGGAAGAGGGGUCCAAGAGAGCUGGUCAAUAUUCAAGGAUCACUUCCUCCAGGCUCAAGAACAAUGCAUCCUGAUAAGUGAGGUAUCAAGCAAAAGGAGCAACAUACCUAUUGGAUGAAAAAAGAACUGCUGUCAUUACUUAUGCAUACAUGGAAACUAUACAUGAGAUGGAAGCAGGGUCAGGCCACUUUGAAUACAGAGAAAUUGUCAGAGUAAGCAGAAAUGAGACAAGGAAAGUCAAGGUCCGCCCAGAAUUAAAUCUGGCCAAGGAUGUCAAGGAAAAGAAAGGCUUUUUCAAAUACAACAAUAACAAAAGGAAACCAAAGGAUUAUGUGUUACUAAAACUAAAACAGUUCCCUGCUGAAUGCCUUCUUUGCAUCAAUCUUCACUGACAAGAUCAGCCCUCAGGGACCUCUGACUCUGGAGACAAGGGCAAAUGAACAUCAGCAGGAAGACCUUUCCCUAGUUAGGGAGGAUUUGGUCAGAGAACAGCUCGACAAACUUGACAUCCACAAGUACGUAGGCCUUGAUGAGAUGCAUCCAUGCAUCCUGAGAGAGCAGGUGCACAUCAUAGCAAGGCCACUAAUAAUCAUCUUUGAAAGGUCAUGGAGAUCAGGAGAGGUGCCUGAGGGCUGAACGAAAGCAAAGAUCACACCAGUCUUAAAAAAGGGCAAGAAGAAGGACCCAGGAAACUAUCAGCCAGCAGCCUCACUGCAAUCCAUGGAAAGGUAAUGGUGUGCCUAAUUCUGAAGUGACAAAACAAAGCUAGGAGAAGUGGCCAAUACCCCAGAACACCGUGCAGCCUUUCAGAAGGACCUCGACAGGCUGCAGAGGUGGACAAAGAACUGCCUGAAAUUUUACAAGGGCAAAUGCAGGGCCCUGCCCCUGGAGAAGAAUAACUUUAUGCACCAGGACAGGCUGGGGCCCAACCUGCUGGAAAGCAGCUCUGUGGAGAAGGACCUGAGAGUCCUCAUGGACAAGAAACUGUCCAUGGGGCGCAUUAAAAAUAGCAUUGCAAGCAGGUUGACGGAGGUGAUCCUGCCCCUCUGCUCAGCCCUGGUGAGGCUACAUCUAGAGUGUUGUGUCCAGUUCUGAGCUCCUCAGUACAAGAGAGACAUGGAGCUCCUGGAGCAAGUCCAGAAGAGGGUGAAAAAGAUGAUUCUUUUAAUCUUUUGAUGACUGGAACAUCUCUAUUAUGAGGAAAGGCUGAGGCAACUGGGCCUGAUCAGCGUUGAGAAGAGAUCUGAGGUGGAGCCUUAUCAAUGUUGAUAAGCAUCUGAAGGGAGAGUGUCAAGAGGAUGGAGUCAGGCCCUUGUAAGUGCAAGCCAUAGGACAAGAGGCAGAAACUCAUGCACAGGAAAUUCCACCUGAACAUGAGAAAGGAUUUCUUUAUGGUACAGAUGCCUGAGAACUGGGGCAGAUUGCCCAGAGAGGUUGUGGAGUCUCUCUUACUGGAGAUAUUCAAGAAUUGUCUGCACACAAUCCUGUUCCAUGUGCUCUGGGGAACAUGGAUGACCCUGCUUGAACAGGGAGGUUGGACCAGAUCACCCAGUGUGUUCCCUUACAGCUUGAUCCAUCCUGUCAUGCUGUGAAACAUCCUCUCAUUUGAAUGUGUUAGAAUUAAAAAACAGUAGGUACUGAUGAAAUUCCAUCUUCAAGUCCUGUUUUUUUCAAUCAUAAGGAAGGCUCUUGCAUGUACUCUGAACAAUUCCAUAUAACGGAGACUAUCUAUUCUGCAUUCUGAAAGACAUUUCCGUUUUUUCUUAUACGCUGCCUUCUGAGAGUGUAUUUCCCCAUCCAUGUCACCACAUUCAGAUGUCUAGGUACAGUGCCAGUAUCCAGGCAUUUCUCCCACUAGGAACUUCUCAGUUUACUAAACCUAACAUUGCACCUGAUGUUUUUACUUAGAUCACUCUUUCUACAAAAGCCAAAAUGUCCAAACUUGCUGAUUCAUAGUAAUUUUGAUUAUUCCUCGACAAUGACAACUCCAGUAAGAGCUUACCCGUUUCAUAAACUCUAAACAAAUGCUAGAUUCAAAAAGGUUACUGGCCUGCUUGGCCUACUCUCACACAAAGUUGAUUGAAGAGUGGAGCUAAACCUAUAAAGUCAUUAUCAACUCUCCACCCCACAUAAUCAAACAGGUAAUGCCAUCUGAGAGAUUACAGUAAUUAGCUCCAAAAUUAGAUCCAUGAAAAUCAAUUAUUCUUACUGAUCUUUUACAUGGCAUGAUUACACAGACAGGAAGAUCAGCACAGUUUGGUUUAAACACCUAUAAAUUGUUGCAUUAAUAUUUUAUGAGAUUGCUGUACAGUACUGUUUCUGGGCUAAGAACACUUAGUUUUAAGUGACUUAACUGGGUUUGACCAUAGCUAUUGAGCCAUACAUUUUCUCCUGUAAACUCCCUUGUCCCAAGUCCUGAACAGUUUCAUCAGAAAUACUAUUCUUUCUAAAAAUUCAAGACAUAUAAAUAAUUGCUAAAAUAAGUGUAUAUAAUUGCUGCAUUAGCACAAUUCUAUAAAACCAGGAUCCAGAAACAACACUGCAUUUGAGCAUGCAAUAUUUACUACUGUCCUCGCACACUUUUACUAAACAAAAAUGAAUAUCUGAUGUGAGAGAUAUUAGAGCUCCCUGAUCAUGAUCUCUAUUACAGAAAAUAUAAAAUUGAAGCAUUAUUCUUCCAUAUAUUAAUUCAUUGUUGAGUUCUAUUCUUAAAGCUUUGAGUUCAUAGGCACUAAGCAUAACCUCUAGAAAUGAGGGGAAAAAAGUCCCCAACACUGUCAUUUUUUAAUAAGAAGGAGCAUCAACACUCAUAUAUUUUUGUCACUUGUGUUCAAUUUUUCAUCUUAUGCCACCUGGUAUUAUGCACCUUGUAUUGGGUUUGCAUGGCAAGGUGCUGGUAGUGGCAAGGGGAAGAAGGAGGGGAACUACAGGGGUGGCUUCUGUGAAAAGCAGCCAGAAGCUUUCCCUAUGUCUGCAGAGCCAAUGCCUGCCAGCUCCAAUGCAGACCUGCUGCUGGUCAAGGUUGAGCACAGCAGUGGUGGUGAUAGUACCUCUGGGAUAAUGCAUGUAAGAAGGAGAAAAAAAAAUGCUGUGCAACAACAGGUGGGAGACAGGAAUGAGAACAUGUGGGAGAAACAACCUUGCUGACACCAAGGUCAGUCAAGAAGGAAGGGAGGAGGUGCUGCAGGCACUGGAACAGAGAUUCCCCUGCAGCCCAUGGUGCAGCCCGUGGUGGGGUAGCUGUCCCUCUUCAGCCCAUGAAGGUCCAUGGUGGAGCAGAGAUCCAUCUGCUGCCAACUGAGGGCCCUUUGGGGGACCAUCCACAUUUGGGCAGGUGGGUGCCCCAAUGAGGCUGUGACCUUGCAGGAAACCCACACUGGACCAGCUUUAGUGGCAGGCAGGACUUGUGACCCCACAGGGCACCCUCACUGGAACAGCCUGUUCCUGAAGGAGUGCACUACAUGGAAGGGACCCUAUGCUGUAGGAGUACCCCUAUGGAGUAGGGGAAGAAUGUGAAGAUUCCUCCCUCUGAGGAGGAAGGAGCAGCAGAGACAAUGUGUGAUGAACUCACUACAGCCCCCAUGUCCUGUUCCCCUGUACCACUAUAGGGAGGAGGAGGAUGAUGAGAAAUCAGGAGUAAAGUUAAGCCUGGGAAGAUGGGAGGUGUGGGGGGAAGGUGUUUGGAAGGUGGUUUUAAGAUCUGGUUUUAAUUCUCAUUAUUUGAUUGGUAAAUAAACUAAUUUCCCAGUGCUGAGUCUGUUUUGCCUAUGAUAGUAACUGGUGAGGGAUCUCUCCCUGUCCUUAUUCUGACUGCUGAGCCUUUCAUUGUAUUUUCUCUCCCCUGCCCAGUUGAGGAGGGAAGUUAUGGGGUGGCUGUGUGGGCAUCUGGCACAAAGCCACAGUCAAGCCACCACACAGUUUUAGUUUACAAGAUCAAUCAGGUCCCAUGUAUUCCAGCUGCCUAACAGAUAAAUAUUUCAGUGAACACAAGAGUAUUUUGAAAUGCACAGACUUGUACAUAAAAUACUUUAAAGACAUGUCACAGUUCUAAUUGUAUUUUGCAUAUUACAGGACAACACUUAAUGCAUUCCUGUUCCAUAGUUAAUUAUUAUAUUACAGUUAAUAAAAUAACAAGGAGCUUGGGAUGUAAUUUCAAACAUAUUCCUCAAUAGAGACCUUAGGGAUGCUGCAAAGGCUAAGAGGGUGUGCAUCAAAGGAGAAAACUGUUUGCCAAUUAUUAAUUGGAAAGUUACUCUACGCUUAAAUGGUAACUGGGAAAUAUAUCGGAGUUUAGUGAAAAGACGCAGGAGAAAUUCCACAAAAGCAUGCAUGAAGCUUCAGGAUGAAAUAGGACUAACUAAAAGUGCAUGGUACGUAUGUCACCUAUGACACCAGUCUUUAGAGUUUUGAGGAAUCUAGGCAACUAAAGACUUUUAAUGUUAACUACUCAAUAUUAUAAUAAUGCAUAGAAUGAGUGGACACCUCAAGAAAUAUGAUUAUUGAGAAGAGACAGCAUAGGUUCUGGUUCCUAAAGCUCUGCCCUAGAAGUCUGCUGAAAUUCUCUAAUGAGGGCAGUCUGGUUUACCCAGAUUCCAAAAAUGGUUUUGGCAAAAUUCAUCAUCUAAGGCUUAAAAGAAGUUAUGUAUACACACAAGAAGUCCUGAUGUGGGUAAAUAAUUGGCUAGAAGAUAGGAAACAGACAGUAAGAGAAAACAAUCCAUUCCAAACAAAGGAAGGAGAUAAUUCCUGAGGUUCAGGAGAGGCUUGAAGAUCUUCAACCUACAGUGAACAGUGAGCUGGAAAAUGAUGAAGAGCAAGCUUAGAGUUUAGUGAUGACAUCAAGUUAUUCAGGAAAGCCAGGAUAAGGGCAGACUGAAAAAAACCUGCAUGACUCUAUGAAACUGAAUAGUUGUCCAAUGAAAUGACAAAUUCCAAGUAGAUAAAGUAAAGCAGGUGAGGUGAUGGGGAAUCCCAAGACCAGAAUGAGCUGUAUGGCAGGCUCUGAAGUGAACAUUAGCACUUAGGGACAAAAUGGUGAAGUUUCAUUAGUUACAGGAAAAAAAAAAAAAAAAAAAAAAA
ensembl:lncRNA